rnacentral:rRNA from 1 species
AACGAACGCUGGCGGCAUGCCUAACACAUGCAAGUCGAACGAGACCUUCGGGUCUAGUGGCGCACGGGUGCGUAACGCGUGGGAACCUGCCCUUAGGUUCGGAAUAACUCCCCGAAAGGGGUGCUAAUACCGGAUAAUGUCUUCGGACCAAAGAUUUAUCGCCUUUGGAUGGGCCCGCGUUGGAUUAGCUAGUUGGUAGGGUAAAAGCCUACCAAGGCGACGAUCCAUAGCUGGUCUGAGAGGAUGAUCAGCCACACUGGGACUGAGACACGGCCCAGACUCCUAAGGGAGGCAGCAGUGGGGAAUAUUGGACAAGGGGCGAAAGCCUGAUCCAGCAAUGCCGCGUGAGUGAUGAAGGCCUUAGGGUUGUAAAGCUCUUUUACCCGGGAUGAUAAUGACAGUACCGGGAGAAUAAGCUCCGGCUAACUCCGUG